ensembl:lncRNA
CACAAGACCAAAAGCAAUGACAGGGAUUUAAUGGAAAGGAAGGAGAAUGUAUGCCUCAUGAUGUGAUCCAUUAGAUGUCUUCUUGCCCUGCACAAUGAGAGAGCAUCUCUGUUUCUGUAUGCCACUCCUGAUUCCUGCACCCAGAGCUCUUCACAACCGGGAACAAUUCUUUUUCUUUUAUUUUGAGACAGAGUAUACUAGAAGAACGUGCAAACAGAUAGGAAAGAGCCUUCCCCAAAGUAUGCUCUUUUUGGAACACAUUUAUUGUUAGGAUGGUACAAACCUCCCUGAUAAUUUUUUAUCUAGACUGAACUCCGCAAUAAUCCCCUUCUCCAGCACUGCAGGACAGAGGGAAAGCCUGCAAUCUGUGGACUAUAUGAUAGCUCAGCUCUCCCUCCUUUCCUCAUAGUCCCGAUGCCUUGUUCAUACUAAGGUACACUGAGAAGGGGAAGAUGAUGUCUGGCCUUCAGCCCUUCAACCUUCCAGUCAACUCCACCCUAAGAAAAGCUAGUGAUGGGUCGACAAGCACUAGUUGACAGAGAGUCAAAUUAUCAACAGGGUUAAAAAAAAAAAAAAAAAAAAAAAAAACCGUUCCAGCACCGCUUUCUAAGAAGACCAGCAAGAAGGGCUUACAGAGGAGAACUACUCUACACUCCAAGAGUUUCUGCUGGAAAUAUAGUUUGGUUAACUGGAAAUCCAGGGUGCCGCAGCAUUUAAAGGUAAAACAACAGAAACUCCUUACCAUCUUCACAUUUGGUUCCACUGCCUCAGUCAAGCCAUCUAGCUGCGGGUUAAUAAACACAGAAAAUCUGGAGAUGGUCCAAAUAUAGUAAGGACCUUGAAGACCAAGCUCAAUGCUGCAGGUACCACAGCCAGAAGAAACGUACUUAGUGCCCUACAAGCAGGUAUGGGCUACCCCCAAGACUAAAGAAGCUGGAAAUGAAGAAGCAUGAUCACAAGAAAGGUGCUGCUGAACUAUAAGACCUUGUCCAGGCAUAGAAGUACAGGCAACAUCUGCUGAACAUAUUCAAAGACAGAUGCCCAAAUCUGCACCUCAACUGAUUUGUCUGGUAGUGUGAGGUAUUGAGGCCCUCAUCCUGACUGUUUGCAUUUGCAUCUGUGUAAAUUAUGUGAACAUGUAGAUCCUCUCAGAAAACUGUCUAGUUCUACCCACAACUUAUGGUUUUACUGGAUGGGCUGCUUCAUUCAUUCGAGCAGAAUUUUCCUCUUGUAAGAUCUAAAUGAGAGCUCAUCCUCCCCACUCUCCGGGGAAUAAUCCAAAAGAUGGGAGGUUCUUAAUAAAACAAUUAAUUGUGAUAAAUUUCUGAUUUUUGCUCCUUCGUCCAGGGCUAUUUCCAUGGCAACAUCCUCUCAUCCUAUUGUUGGGCUGUUCUUCAUUCACACAGCAGGUUAAGCCCAGGGCAGUGAGGGCAGGCUGAUGGUCAGCCUUUAUUUUCUCUGGCCCUUCAACAAAGGUUAGUUGAGGUCACCAGAAGUCAAAGGGUAAUUACUUUUCCUCCGCAGGGUUAAAGGUACAUAGAUUGCUAUUGGGACCACUGUAUGGAUGACCUUCAGCUUUUAAUGCUCAAUCUUCUUUUCUUUCAUCACAGUGAAUAAGAGUGAUGGAACAGUGGUGAUGCACCCCUAUGCCUGAAAUUCAGAACAGAAAGCCAAAUGUCUUUUUAUUUUGUAAAGCUACUAUCUAUUAGCAUAAUAUACUCUUGGAAUCAAUUGGAAAACCCAAUGCAUAAAAGGUUUCCUUUCUCUUAAAUACAAAAACAAAACAAAAAAAACCUCUGGCAGAAAAUUUCAGCUGUUCACUGGUUUUCUUACUUACUUAAUUUGAUAUUCAUAAUUUCCCAGGCUUCAGUCAUUUUUCUGAAGGUGUGUUCUUUAAGGCUGAGAAGUAAAUGGAAGCUUUCCUCAUUCCAUGAAGCAUCUGGGGCUCAAUUUUUCUCCCUCAAACACCAAUUGUGACUUUGUCUCUCUAAACUGACUAAGAGCAAGUCAGACUGAAAUGAAUUUCCUCUCUUUACUUCUCUAUUCUCAAAUAAUGACAGUCUCUAAAUCAAUUUGCAGGGCUAGGGGGAAGAUCUCUUGAAAAUGUGUAAUUAACAUAGUUUGCCCACUUAUUUGAAGAGCCACUUUGAAACUUUGGCCUGUUGUUUCAAUCUGGAAUUUUUUUUAAUGAUUAUUAUCAUUUUGGGGGCUCCAAAAACAGAGCCAGCCACCAGAAUUCAUUUGCCAUGGUUCCACCACCAGGCAAAGGGACUUUUGACUCCCUGGACAAGAUGGCUCUGCUAAUGGUUCAUCUCUACUGACCACAGAAGGGAGCCUGAGCCCCUUCAUAGAGUCAGGCUAAGAUCACCUGAAAGAGUCACUUGGCCCAUCUGUAGCCAUAACCAGGGGCAACCAUCCCCCAGGUCUCAUUACCUCUGUCCAAGGACUAGCUUUGACAAAAGAGCACACAGGGAUCUGAGAGCAGACACCCCCAUUCCCACCCUAAGAGGGAAGUAGAAAUACUGUUUCUGUUUCUGAGACUCACCCUCCUGUGAUCUGAGAGUAACCAGCCACUUCAUACCCUGUAGUCCGCUGUCUCUUCUGUCAGCACUGACCUAAGUGCUGCUCCAGCCCCUCCCUCACACCCUUCAUAUUGAGUCAUCCUGCUCAGGAGCUCCCUAGGAACCUCCAGACCCAUCUCCCGCAGCUGCCACCUUGGUUGCUUCAUCAGCUGAACCCUCUACUUGGCCUCCUCCCCUUGGCCACUCUACCUUAGUCAAGGAGCCUGUAGCCUCUUGUGGGUGACUCUACCCUCCCUGGGCUUAUGCCAUCCUUUUACGCUUUUCCCCUUUCUCUCUUCAGUUCCUGCUUCUUUAAAACACUGGCUUAAAAUUUAGUUCCUUCAGGAAUUCUUCCAUAUUUUAUCCCCUGCUACAACUAAAUAAAUACACUAAAAAUAUUAUACAUAUAUUAUAUGUAACAUAUACAUAAUUAUAUAAUAAAGCCAUAUAAAAUGCAUCUAAAUAUCAAAUCUUAUUAAAUAGCAACUUUUAAAAACCAAAAGCCUUAAAUCACCAUCAUUUAUAAAUACUUGAGUCUCUUACAACACUACUGUUUUACAUGAGACAGUUUAUCAUCACAGUUGCCAUAUUUAUCUUGGCAAGUUCUAUUUUUUUCGCUUUAUUUUCUAUUGUCCUUUCUACGUCUCUACAAAGUCCUGUCAUUCUGGAGAGUGAAACACUUUGGUAUUAUAUCACAAUCUCCCCAAAUAAUCUCCUUAUUGUCAAAGAGCAUAACUGAAAUCUGCUAUUAUUAAUUGAUGAUCAAGGGGAUAACAGAAAGUAAAACAAAGUACAGCCACACCGAAGGAUAUUUUAUUUUAGAAGGGACUCCUGUCAAGACCCAUAGAACAUAGUUCUGCACGUGGAAUGGUCAGCAGUAGAGAUAAUAUUUGGUAAAGUAGAUAGAAAACCUAAGGAAGCAUGCAUCAGGACCUGGCAUUUGACCUGCAUGCCUGUAACCAGAUGAAAGAAGGGAGAGAAGGGAGGGGAGUAUCCAGUACUGCCCACACUGGCAGCACUGCCUGGUCUUACAGCAGUGCCCCUCACUGGUAAAGAAACUGCCCUUUCCUCAGUUACAGACCAAAGUCAAAAGGACCAGCUGUAUUCUCUGGUCAGGGCUCCCUGACCAGCAGCAUUUAAUGCACCCUAAACUAGGAACUCCUAAAGCUGGCUCUAGGCAGGUUAGCAAGUUAGCUCAAAGAAGCGUUAGGGAGAGCGAUGACUUCACAUAAGGUAAACUUUAGGAAAGUUACUCUUUCCCUUUCUGCAUCAUUUCUCUCCUUUCUCAUUCCUUCCAGAUCAUCCCCAGAUGCCCCAGAUCCCCAGAGUCCCAACUCACAUGGGGGUUUUAACAUCAGUAGGCCAUAUUUUCCCCCGAUCUGUUAAGAAAGAUAACAGGGUAGAAUAUUUAGCCAUAAACAAGUCAUCUCUAAUGAUGAAAUUUCAGGCAUUUUGAAUUUUGGUGAGGGAGAUAUGUAGCAGUAUCACCUUCUGAGAUGCUACCAGGUAACUCUUUGAGUGUUCUCUGGGCCAGUGACAAACUCAAAGAACCUGGGACACAUUAGAUCAAAUCUUCCAGUAACACAAGUCACUCACUUUCACCCAUUCCAAAAUAGAUGUGAACAUUCUCCCUCCUUAGGCAGUAUUUUUAAAAGCUCUUUUAUUUUUUCUUGAAAUACAGAGCCACUGGGCUCUCUGUCUUAUAGUGAGCAUCUCUCUUUCCCACUUUGUAGAGAAAGUGUUACUAAAAGGUUAAACAUAGAGGAUUGUUCACACUCACCAUCAGUUCUUCUUCAUGUGCCAGAAAUAGAUGUGACUUGUCCUCUCCUCUUACUGGUAUCUUCAGAUGUGGGAUGUAAGGAUGUCUCCUACAGAACCUGCUGCAGAAAUGUCUCUAGCAGUUGUUGAGUAGUAACAGAGAGUGAUAGGAAAGUGCCAUGGUCCAGAGCAUCACCCUCAGUGCCAAAUGAGUGAUGAGUGCUCUGAGGUCAGCACUGACUGCCUGGCAUCUCAGGGUGAUGUGCUGUCCUAAAGCUUGGAGCACAGCCAGGGCUACAUGAGAUGGGAUCUGAGGAAAAGACUGUAACACAGUGCUACUCAAAUUGUAACAUGUACAAGAAGCACAGAUUUCUGGAUCUCACUUCUUGAGAAACUAAUUCAGUAGGCCCCCAGAUCUCCAUUUCUAAUAAAACACCAGGUGAUAAAGAUGCUCUCCAGCUGUGGCCCCACCUGGAGGAGUACUGAGGUAGAUUUCCCUUCUCAGGAUUUCACUCCUUGUACCUCUAAAAUGUACCACCACCUUUCCACUAGGCAAAGGGUUUCUCACUUGUUCAUAAAUGCUUAUGAUUUCUAGAUACACUUUCACCUUCCUGUUCUCUGCUAUGGUUCUCACUUCAUUUUGACAAAAUCUUCUAGUUUGUAUGGAUUCUAUGGGCCCUUAAGAAUAGCACUUUUCCUAUUUUAUUCAAUUACAAGUCAACUCCAGUUUCCUGCUAUUAAGGAGGAAAAUAUCUUGCCUUUCACUAUCAUCCUCUAUAACCAGAGAAGUUCUAUCCACAAAUUCCAAAUCCUCAGCUCUCUGCCAGCACUUAGGUGGUCUUUUUCACCUCUCUGAUCUUAGAUAAGCUAAGAGAUUGCCAAGACAUACAAGUAGACAUAAUCCCUUUCCCAGGAAGCUUGCACUAUUGGGUGACUACUUAGUCUAGUGGUGAAGUGCAUGGGCCCAAGUGCCAGAGAGACAGGUUGGUUCAGGCCCCGACUAUGCCUUUUAUAAGCUGAGACCUCAGACAAAUAAUUUAACCUUUCUAAGCCUCAGUUUGGGUUCCCUGGUGGCUCAGACAGUAAAUAAUCCACCUGCAAUGUGGGAGACCUGGUUUCAAUCCCUGGGUUAGGAAGAUCCCCUGGAAGAGGGCAUAGCAACCCACUCCAGUAUUCUUGCCUAGAAGAACAGAGGAGCCUGGCAGGCUACAGUCUAUGGGGUCUCAAAGAGUCAGACAUGACUGAGUGACUAAGCACAGAAAGUUUCAAUUUACUUUUCUGCAAAGUGGGAAUAAUAUAACAAUACAUACAUACCACAUAGAGUUUUGAUAAUAUUUGAAUAAUAUAAUGCAUACAAAGAACUUAGACACAGUGCCUGGAACACAAGUGCCUGGAACGGAAUGCUAAGUGGUCCACAAAUUUGAGUGAGAUGCUGAUUGCCUAGGAGCUGGCCUCACCUACAUACUAGAGUGCCACCAUACUGUUCCUUGGCACAGACAAGCAGGACAGGGAUUUACCUCUCCCAGGUCCUGGAGCCCUGGGCCACCUGUCUUUCCUGAGCCUCCAAGGAACAGAAGAGGAUGGAAGGCCCCACUGGGCCCCUUUCUAGGUGUGCAUUGUUAUCACACCCUCUCUGAGGCUGACCGCCUUGUCCAGCCAGACUCCAAUGUGCAGGCUGCCAGGGGAUACUUCCCUGCCCCUUUAUUAUUUCCUAGCAUCCCCCAGCCUCUUAACAUCAUUCCCCUCAGCUGGUUAAGCAUUUUGCAGAUCAAUGCUCAUUCAUCUGCAAGACAUUUUCCUGGUUAUGAUUCCCCUUUCAUGGAUUCAUGGGUACAUAAACUGAGGUCCUGAGAAGUCUGGAGGCUCCCUCCCAAGGACCAGGAAGGAGCCCUCAUUGCUUCCUGUGUGAGUCCCUGAACUGAGUAGAAACAAUAGAAAACGAAUGUCUCUGGUAGACAACAAUGAGGCUGCAUAAGCAGAACUUUUCUCCACUGUCAAAAGCUAAGCAAUAUUUUGUUCCAUGUUAAUUUAGUGGAUGGCUACUGAGUACCCUAGAUGCUGUGCUGGAAUACAAGUAUGGAGAAAUGUAAACUCUACUCUCAAGGCAACAGGUUACAAUUUAUUUCUUCCUUUAGCCAAGGGAGAACUUUGCAUGAUUUUCAUCCAAUGUGCCAAAAGACCCAGUCCAGAAGUGUGAUGUAAAUGCCUCAGGAGAAUGAGAAAAGGCAGCCAUGGGGGUAGAUUUGGUAGCUCUCAGAGAAUUUACCCAGUUUAAUCUACACGUAAGGACACAUUUUCCACAGUUCUUUCUAAGAGGCUCUUCCUUCUUCCUGAAGAUACCUGACUUUCUCCCACCUGAUACCUGAGAGAUUUUAAAGAUUUUUCUUCAUUUUAAAAUGUUCAUCAGAAGCAAAUCUUGUUGACUGAAUAAACAGAGGACAGUAAACAUGUUCUAGUCCUGGCUCAGCUGCAGAGCAAAUGAAUGCCUGGAGCAAGUUACUUCACCUCUCCAGACCUCAGUAUCCUUAUCUGCAAAAGGGAGCCCAUUGAACUAACUGUACCAGUGCCCACAGCAUCGACUGUGUGCAGAUCCUCAGGGCACUUCACACAUGCACCAACUCCUCACAACAACUCUGUGAGAUAGGGAACAUUUUUUCAUCACCACUUUACAGAUGAGGAAACUGAGGCAUGGGGUGGUUAGAAUAAUCUUGCUCAAAAUCAGGUAACUGAGAAGCAGAGAUGAGAUUUGGACAUGUUCAGUCUAUUUCCAGCAUUUGUACUCUUAAUCUCUAGGAUAGGUUGCCUUUCAGCAGAUGAGGAGAACUAGAUAGUACUAAAGUCCCUUCUAAUGUUCACAUUCAAUUUAGUUUAAAAUGACUCCUAAAGGCUCAGAUUCUGUAUUUUAGGCCAAUGGAGCAAAUAGCUCAUGAAAAAAAAUGUUAAUUUAUUAAUCAAAACUACCAGUUCAUACUACACUAGAAAUAAAAAUUUUCAAAGUGCUUUCAUAUGUAUGAUCCUCUUAGAUCCUAACUGGAUCUUGAUGUAGAGAAGGCAAUAGCACCAUCCAUGAGGCCAGGAAAAGGAAGUCCAGAGAGGUCAGGACUUCAUUAUGGUAUCCAAGAAAACCAGGGGAGGAGUCCUACUGCUUUAGCACAAUCAGGGGCCUCCAUUCAACCUGCGUCACACAUUUCCUCUAGGACUUCAUCUUGGAUCCAGAGUAGAUGGAGGAAAGAGCCUGUCUCUCUGAAACUCUCCUCCAUGGCCCUUCAGUGUUGGGUCUCUCACACAGAUACCAAGACGUCUAGGCCUGCAAUCAAGGGGGUGAACUCACACAACCCUGAAAAAUUGAGAUGCAUGUAGUGUUGCUGCAGGGGAAGCUGUUCUGACAUUGAAUUCCACGCCAGGCCUUCUAAAGAGCUGUCUAAGCUUGAAGCCUCUGCUAGCUCUGCUCCUCCUUCCUCCACAUUUACAAGGUAACUCUGCCCUCCACAGAGGACACUGUGCUCUCAAAUAUCACAUCUAACUUCCUAGUCCAAGAAGCAGCUGCUUGUUCCCUUAACACACCUGUGCUUUCCCAGUGACAAGCUUCUGCUCACCUCCACCCUCCCCCUGGAACAUGCUUCCUACCAUCUUGCCUUCAAAUACUUUCCUUGUUUGCAGGCCUACCUCACAUGCCCCUUCUGCAGGAAGCUUCUCCUAGCCCUUCCAGUCAGGUGUAAUCUAUUCUUCUUUGAUCAUCCAUUCUUGUGUGCUCUAUGACAUGCUCAAAUUCUGCUUUUUUAUUGCAGCUGGGUUUAUACUUUGUUAUCUUCAUCACACUCAGACUGCUUUUUACUUCCUGGCAAUGUUGGCAGCAGUGUCUGGCACUUGAUAAAUAUCUGCUUGACCACUCUCUCAUUCUGUAGAAUGAUUUACUCUGCAAAAAUAUAUGGCAAAGAAGAAUGAUCAUUAGAUUCUAAUGUCAUUUCCAAAUUUUACUCACUGCUUUUUUUUGUUGUUGUUAUUUCCUGACUGACAGAGCUCAGCUUCAGAGGUGAGAGCUUUCAAAAAACUUCCAUGUAGGUUGUAUCCAAAGAGGUUUCUGGAUGUGAACAUGUCAGCCCAAGACUCUUGCUAACUGGACCUUCAGCUGCUCAAGGUCUACACUGCACAGCUGCAGUUUUACCCCAGAAAUAGAGAACCAGAGCUGAUGUGACCAAAGGAGCCAGAUUAGGAAAAUGUUCUCAGUCUUCCAGGGCACUUAGUUUUCACUGACUCUUUGUACUUACAGAGGGAGAGGGUGGGAACAAGGAAAGGGCAGCUAGUGUGCUUCCUUCACCAUUUCCCACCUCUCCACCCCCAGCAUAGAGAAGAGGGAUGGUUAUUGAGAAUGCUGACGUUCACAAAGAGUAAAAUUUAAAUUGUUCUGGUGGAAAAGAAAAACCUUAGUCCUCUCCUCUAAACAUAGUAAAACCAGCCAUCAUAAAAAUGCUCCCAAGAUUGUCAAGUCUUUCGGAGUUGCUCAUCACAGUUAACUCUAUAUAUGCCAUUCUACAUAGUAGCAUAUAACUGUGCAACUAGUAUUUGACUGGUUUUUCAACCCCAUCUCAUGGAGCUGGAGAACUAGAACCAGAGAAUAAUAUGUAAGGACCAAUGCUUUGGGGAUUAGGCCUCUCCCUCUGCCCACAUCGAGGCAAACUUGGGGCACCUGUGGGACUUAGACACCAUCCAUGAGCAGAUGGGUAUCCAGAGUCCACUUGAUCAAAUCAAGUACUUUGGAAAGUUUGAGAAAAAAGGCAAAAGGACCCAACUUCUUCCCCACAAAGCCAUGUGUCUUAAUCUUUUUUUUUUUCAUUAUAUUCCCUCUAAUCGAUCUUCUUAGGUUUUUUUUUUUUUCCUAACUGCAUCUCCUUGACAUUUUAAUGCCACUGAUAUACUGCUGAUCUGUGUACCGUGGCCCUUAGGAGGCAACAAGCCACUGUAAUGCCUCAGAUUUCUGUAUCCUUCAGACACUGAUCCCUCCCACUGGAUGGGAUACCUAUCCCCUUAAGAAUGCAAGUCACAAACCUGCCCCUGAGAGUAGAGAAGCAACUGGAAACUUGCCAGGCACCACUCCUGGCAUUUCUUUUUUUCAUCUUUUCUCUCUCUUUCCUUCAGACUCAGUAUGAGCCUUGCAUGCACAGAGCUAGAAGGUGACUCAAGGUGACUGGGUAACUGCUCUUUGGAAUGUUAUGGCAACAUGAAAGCAUCAGAGCAGAGAGAUUGACAACAAAUCUGGAGCAAUGGUGUGUUUCACUAAGUGCAAUCUCAGGUUCCACAGUAACAAGUGUUGUACUAAUAACUACAAGACAUAGAUUAAUGGGAAAACUUUUUGCAACAAACUUAUCUAAAGAAUAGCAUUACAGAGUUUAGAAAUUGGUUAUUCCACCCAUUCCCCCACCCUUUUACCAGCAAAAGGGUGUGAAAUUGGAUUUUUCCUUCUGGCUAAUUCAUAUUUCCAAUAUUAUAAUAAACUUGAAAAAUAGACUUCAACUUCUGCACCUUCCCUUUUGCCUACACAUUUUACAGGCACAACAUAAUGAUUCUAGUUAUUAGCUCACUUUAGGCCAAAAAUAAGAAGCCUAACAAUAUAUUAACAUUUCCAUUAUCAAUCAGAAAACUGCAGGUCAGCUCCUUGAAUGAUAUGUUGCUCAGCAUAUUAAAAUCCCUGAUCUCAGCAAAAAUGUAAAAAUACUUUUAGUCCUGAAAUUAUGGUUUAAGAGAGACAUGUAGCAGAGUAAAUGGAAGAUGAGGAAGAUAAUCAAUUUAGAUUGGUCUAAAUGGAAGAGCAAUGGAUUGCUAUUUUUUUCCUUUAUCUAAUAUAGAAAUUGAGUGCCUAUGGUACCCAUUUUCAUAUUCAUUUGAUACUCAUUUUAGUAUCAAAGAGGUGGCAAUGAGCAAUUUAUCAAAAAUAAACUUCUCAGCCUUUGGUUUUGUGCUUGCACCUAACCAUCUGGUCGAUACACAUCACCCUGGGAGAGCGCCAAUGGAUGUUUACCAACUGAUAUCACUAAAUGAGGUUGCUCUCCUUUCACCUGGGCACCAGAGCACCUGACUAUUCUGUUUGAAGCCAGUGCCACUCUGUGUGUCAGUAGCUGCAGAUUCCACAGUUUAUUACUAAUUUUCUCCUAAACAUUUGUUACUGCCAAUGUUUUGAGAUCCCAGUAGUGUUUCCAGGUGAAUCUCCUCUGUAACAUUAUUUUUCUCCACUGCUGCUGCUGUUUAGUUGCUUAGUUGUGUCCAAGUGUUUGUGACCCCAUGGACUGUAGCCCACCAGGCUCCUCUGUGCAUGGGAUUUCCCAGGCUAGAGUACUGGAGUGGGUUGCCAUUUCCUUCUCCAGGAGAUCUUCUCAGCCCAGAGAUUGAACCUAGGUCUCUUGCUUGGCAGGUGGAUUCUUUACCACUGAGCCAACUGGGAAGCCCCUUAAAAAAGGGUCUACAUUAAAAAAUAUAUAUAUAUAUAUAUUUUUAAAAAUAAGUGAUUGUCCUCACCUGUGCAUAAGUGUAUUUGCAUCUAAAUUUUUGAUGAUAUCAUUCAUUAAACAUACUCAUCUUUAUUAAAUAUCUACUAUUAAAUAUAUUAAGUAAUUAAAUGUCUACUAAAUAGUUCUAAGACACAAAGCUAUAAAAGACAUGGCCUUGCUAUCAAAGAACUUAAAAUCUGGUAAAGAUGCCAAGAUCCACAGAUUCCCCAAAUUCUAUUUGGCUUCAAAAAACUUCAAUAAGUUGAACAUACAGAGGUAAGGAAACCUUCAUACUUGACCUGAAUGAUAACUUAAUUGUCAUAACACGAACAGUAUAAAAAAACCAACUUGCAUGUAUCCCUUGAAAGUUUCUUUCCUUUCCAGGUGCCAUAGUGACUAAAAUUCUACUAUAGUUUAGAAAUUCAUUCCUUUAGGUUAAUUUCCUUCCAGUACCAGUGAGCUAUUAUUUAGAUUUUUCCUAGGUAUUUUUAAGUACUGGUAUUUUAGAUAUAAGAACUGCUUAAAUAAAUUACCACAAUAGAUUACAUUUAUUUUUUCUGGAGAUCUCACUUAAGAUGAAAAUGCCCUUAGAUGACUUAACAUGUUGUCAUAUUACUUAUCAGAUCACUUUCAACAUUAUAAGAAACAGGACCUCAGCCCUAUGAAGGCACUGGGAACGUUGUGCAAAUGAUAAUUAAAAGGGAGACAAUAUACACAAAAGGAGGGAUCCUACAAAAUAAGCUUCUUACAACCUAUCAAGACUAAUAGUCUAUAAGGAGUUAAUGUUUCCAAGAAAAUCAAGACUCAGAAACUAAGAGAAAGGUGGUCUUCUUAGUUACCCCCACACUUCUGAAAUCAGAGUCAAUAGUCAUAUUGAAUGGGAUGAUCGUGAUAAAGGGAAAAGAGAAAAAAGUGAUUUCCCAUAAAUUCUGUGUUAUUGAUGACUGACCACACAGAAGCUAAUGUCCACAACAAUAAUGAGCACUUAUAAACUCAUGCAUUAAAGCUCUGUCCUGUUCUAAUGCAAAAAAAUAACCCUCUGUUAACUUAAGAUUUCUAAUGCCUUGACCAUAGAAAGAACCACAUGAAAUUACUGACAAAGCCUGAAGCAAAAUGCAAGGUACUAAAAUCAUAACAUAGUUGUAGGAAAUGCAAAAGUAUUGUUAUUCAUUAAUAAACACUAAACACCAUAUCAAAGCAGAAGACUUCAAUAAACCUUUUUCAACUGACAUUGCAUGUAAAUAGGACUUGAUUAAAUGACAAUAAUAAUUUGCCAAUCCAGCAACAGCUACUAAUAAGUCUACCCCAAAUCUUAGCAAUACAAAUUUUGUUUUCUAUUUUAUGUAUUUACAUAUAUUUGACUUACUGCAUGUUAUAAUGCAUAAUCAUCUUUCUGGGAUUAUUUUUCUAUUUUUUCUUGGUGUGUGUGUGUUUAGUUCUAUGGAUCUUUGUCACAUGUAAAAACUUAUUUCCCCAGGUGGCUCAGUGGUAUAGAAUCAACCUGCAAUGCAGGAGACUCAGGAGACAAGGGUUCAAUCCGUGGGUCGGGAAGAUCCCCUGGAGAAGGAAACGGCAACCCACUCCAGUAUUCCUGCCUGGAGAAUCCCAUGGACAGAGAAGCCUGGUGGGUUUACAGUCCAUGGUGUCACAAAGAGUCAGACAUGACUUAGCAACUAAACAACAACAACAAAUUUGGAUAACUAGCACCACAAUCAAGAUCUGGAAAUGAUUCAUCACCACAAAUUUUUGUUUACAGUCACUCUGUCCCUAAUACCUGGCAACCGCUGAUCUUGUCUCUAUUUCUAUAGUGUUGUCAGUUUGAGAGUGUUAUAUAAAUCUUUGUUUGAAGAUCAAUCUAUUUUUAAAGUACAUAUAUGGUUCACAUAUAUAUAUAUAUACACAUACAUACAUACACACCACACAUAUACAAUCACAUACCUAUGUUUACUUUGUAUAAUCUUGCUUCAAAUUUUGUAAGAGUGUUUUUUAAAUUCAGCAUGAUAACAAUCUAUGACAAGACAUUAGAGACAACCCUUUAGGGUGGACUGAAGGGUGACUCAUCCCAGGACAAAGAAUAGAGCCUACUGCUCUUACAAUGGCUCAAUUGCUCUGAGAGCUGGAUUCUAUGAUGAAGUUCCAAAGCAUGUAAUACAGGAGUAUUUGGAGCAAAUCUCCAUAGCCUAGAACUCUGUCUUUGGAAGGUAUCACUGGAGAGAAUGUGUUAGAGGAAAAAGGCAGCUUUGCUUUCCAAGUGCAGUGUCCAUCCUGCCUUCACUCAGAUUUUCUAGCAACACAGAAGCCCCAUGAGUGAUUUUGCUGAACAAGGUGAAGAUAAAGAGUUAAUGGCUUCUAACCAGGCCAUAAAUUAACCUGUUUUUUACAAAUCUGAAGGAAGAGGUGCUCAGAAGGACUAAAUGAACACACACAUCUAAAAAUAACUCCCAUUUAAUUAACUGCACACUACACAGUCGCUCUAAUUAAAACUGCUGGCUGGGCUGAGAACUAUCAGUUCCCCUACCUUUCCAUGCUUCUCACCUUAAGCUCCCUGAAACACUGAAAUCACUUGAACUUUAUGGGGAAAUAGCAGGCAGGUAGCCCAGGAGAAUGAUGCCAGAGGGAGAAGUUAAUUUCAUUUUAAGCAAGGAAGCCAUGAAUAGACUGGAAGUCAAGCUAUGCAGAAGGUCAGGAUGAGAAAGGAGGGACCAGAGAUGGAACCAGAGUGGCAAAAUCUCUAGUUUCAAGCAAGUUCCUCAAAUGGUCUGUGCAGCAGGGAGGAGGUCACCUGACAUAGGAUGUAUCCUCCUCUGCCUUUAAAAAGCCAAGCACAGUCCACCUGGAGAAAGAACAGAGUAGGAAACUGUUCAAAAUGGAAGAGUUUCAAGGCCUUACCCUAAAUAACAGCAACAGUUAACAUUUACUGAGGGCUUAUUUUGUGCCAGGAAUUACACCAACUGCGUUAACACACAUUACCUCAUAUAAUACAACAAAGCAAUUUAUAGAUAUAAAACUGAGACUUAGAAAAGUUAUUUUGCUUGCCCAAAGUCCAGAGCAAGUCAGUGGAGGAGCUGGGAAACACCCUGGCAGAUUGAGAUCCCCAGUACUUCCUUACCAAACAGGGACCGUUCCUACUUCCAGGACUUCUGUGACAACUCAAGAGGGCCUAGCAUUUCCUAAGUGCUUUAGUAUUUCCCCUCAGAUCUCUCCUAAAGGCCUAUGUCAGACGCUAAAGAAACCAACCAAUAAAUUUUGUUCCCUUUGAGUAAGACUUGGCAUCUGUAACAGUACUCAAAAACAAACAAACAAAUACAGGUAGUAUAUAUUACAUGCAUACUAUGUCCCAGAAAACUUCUACCAAGUUUGAAAAAGGAAAAGUGAAACAAUCAACUUAUAUGCUCUAAGGAUAAUUCCAUUCUCAGAAAGCUAAAAUAUUAAAAGAUACACCUCCUCUUUUAGACCUGGUAAUUGAUAUCUUUUCUACAUUUGACACAUGAUCUUGAAGUUUCCAGCCUAGACAUCAAUUAGUGGCUGAAUCAACCUAACAAGUAUUACAAUGAGUAACUUCAAACCUUAAAUAUCAGCAUUAGCAUUUUCAUUAUCUCCAUAACAAUCUAAAUAGAAAAAGUCAAAGUUAGACAAAGACUUAUAUAUCACUCAAAUACUGAUAUAAGAAAAUACAGUGAUAAAGUUUAAACUGACAUUAUAUUGGCUUGAAAUAUUUAUCAUCUUAAUUCACCACGAAAAAUGCAGUUCAUGUAUACUGACUUUUAAUACAUAGGGAACAUGGGAAAGUUGUAUAUUUCGUUAAUUCACUCUACCAAUUACUACCUUUGAGUAAAGUAGUAAAUGACUAUAGAAAUCAGGCAGGAAUGCAAAUAAUAAAGCAGGCUAGGUAUAAGACUCUAGGGAUGGGUAGAGACUGUGGCAAACUUGGGUAGCACCUAUCUGUCUGAAGAGAACAGUUGGUCGCUGCCAUUAGGAAGGGUAGGCCCAAAGACACAUACUAUUUCUAGCUUGUAUGUGAAAUUUCCAAAUUGUUUAAACUCAGUAACUGCAGUAACUAACGAUUUUUUUCCAAAAAAUUAAACACUGUACCAGCUAAAGAAAGUACUUCUUAGGCUAGAUCCAACCUGUAGAUCAGAAUCCUACUUCCUCUAAGUGAAAGGCAAGUAAGGAAAAAUUUUGAUUGGUUGAAAAGGAAGAAAAGGGUCUAAGGAGUAAGAGCCUGCAUUGGGCAGAGAGGUCGGUGCAAGAGACCCAGGAGUGUGAUCCCCCCAUAACUUCAAACCUCUCUAAAAAAGAGCAGAGAAGGCAGAAGUAGAAGGUGAAAAAAACAAAGGCUGAUGACAACCACAGCAGACAAUGUCUUGGGGCAUCACUAUGUCCAGCUCCAUGCUAUGUGGUUUACAGGGAUUAUCAUAUACUUAAUCCUGACAACAAAAGCAAGUAGUUAUUAUUAUUUCCCUCACUUUUCAGAUAAGGAAACUGAGGGUUAGAGACAUUAAGUAACUUGCCCAAGGUCAUAAAACUGGUAAAAGGCAGAGCUCACACUGAAAAGCCAGGACUGUCUAAUUCCAGUGGCUGAGUUCUCAACCACUAUCCAGUGUUGUCUCUCUUGCUGGGCUUGAAAUGAGGGCAGAAGAUAGAAGAAUAAGUCCUGCUGAAAUAAGUCCUGCAUGUACUCAACCUUCCAGGAGCUGAAAAAUCUACAGAGAGAGCUAAGGAAGCCCACGUUCCCUGUCCCGGACCAUGAUAUUUUACGGGUGGCAGAGUGAGAUGGUGAUGAGAGCAGUGUACCAAUAUAUCCACAUCCGUUUGCUCUCCACUGCCAUUUCUGAGCUGUGUGACACAGGCUGGGUCACUGGAGCUCUCUGAAGCUCUCUAGGAUUUCACUCUUCAUCUGUAUAAAGAGAACAGUACUGUUGUAGCUGCUGAAGAAGAGAGGUCCCAAGUUCUCAAAGACCAUCCUAAGACUAAUGCCAGCAUUGCUCACUUUUGCAUCAUCCUUCUGUUACUCUUUAAUGCCCCAGAGAGUUCACUGCAAUGUGCUGAUUCUCAGGUUCCUACAGACCACAACACAUUCAGGAGCCCAUAUCCCAAUCAGUAAUCACCUCUGAUCUGUAAGUUUCAGAUUUGCCUGUUUUUAACCAGAGGAAUGGUAGACAACUCUACAGAGAAUAUAAAAUUCCCCCAAAGCUAUGACCCCUAACUUAAAAGAUAAAGGUGAAGGUGGUUCAGAUGGUUAAGAAUCUGCCUGCAGUGUGGGAGAGCAGGGUUUGAUCCCUGGGUUGGGAAGAUCCCCUGGAGAAGGGAAUGAUUACCCACUCUAGUAUUCUUGCCUGGACAAUUCCUUGGACAGAGGAGCCUGGCAGGCUAUAGUCCGUGAGGUUGCAAAAUUUUGGACACAACUGAGCAACUAACACUUUUUCAUUUUUUUCAACCAGAGGAAUGGUUAGAAAAUUCUACAAAGAACAUAAAAUUCUAAGGUCCAUGGCCCCUAACCUAAAGAUAAAGUGAACGUGAAAGUCACUCUGUCAUGUCCGACUCUUUGCAACCCCAUGGACUAUACAGUGUUAGAGUGGGUAGCCAUUCCCUUUUCCAGUAGAUCUUCCCAACCCAGAGAUCAAACCCAGGUCUCAUGCAUUGCAGGCAGAUUCUUUACCAGCAGAGCCACCGGAGAAGCCCAACCUAAAGAUAAAGGUGAAAAGACAUGAGCAUAAAAUUGAUUUUAAAAAAUUAUUAACAUAUUUUUUUGUUAACACACCAACCCACACCAAAACAUAUACUUACUCAGUCUUUCUUGAGGUAAGGAAACGAGAUUUUCAGAGAAAUCAUUCUUAAAACUUCACAACUAAAAACCUCUAAUGGUAACCAAGUAUGGUGACAAACCUGAGUAUCCAAAAGUAGUAGAAUCUUAAUAAGUAUAUGCUGAUUGGGCUUAGGAUAACUAGCUCUAAAGUUUAAUUAAUAUUAAUACACGUGCAUGCAUGUUCAGUCACUAAGUCAUGUCUGAUUCUUUGUGACUCCAUGGACUGUAGCCUGCCAGGCUCCUUUGUCCAUGGAAUUCUCCAGGCAAGAAUACUGGCUGCUGCUAAGUCGCUUCGGUCAUGUCCGACUCUGUGCGACCCCAUAGACGGCAGCCCACCAGGCUCCCUCGUCCCUGGGAUUCUCCAGGCAAGAACACUGGAGUGGGUUGCCAUUUCCUUCUCCAAUGCGUGAAAAUGAAAAGUGAAAGUGAAGUCGCGCAGUCGCGUCUGACUCUUAGCGACAUGGGUUGCCAUUUCCUCCUCCAGGGGGUCUUCAGACUCAGAGAUGGAACCAAUGUCUCCUGCAUCUCUUGUAUUGCAUGCAGAUACUUUACCACUGAGGCAUCUCACCUGGGAAGCCCCAAUAUUAACACGCUGCUGCUGCUAAGUCACUUCAGUCAUGUCCGACCCGGUGUGACCCCAUAGACGGCAGCCCACCAGGCGCCCCCAUCCCUGGGAUUCUCCAGGCAAGAAAGCUGGAGUGGGGUUGCCAUUGUCUUCUCUGAAAUAUUAACAUAGAAGUUUGUAUUUAACCUUGAUUUGAGUGAAAACUGUUGAGGGAAAUUAGAGAAGCUGCUAUGGAAGGACCCACCCUAGUCCAUCUAUACUGUUUUGCAUUUGGAAACUCCCCCAUGCUGCUGGCACCUCCCUCUAGCCACAAGAUUAUAAAGUGAGAUUGUGCUGCUGAGUUUAGGAAUGGAUUUCUUUGACUUCCACUCUUUGAAAUUCUGGCUUAUUCAACAGCACCAGUAGUUUUUGAUAACUACUGGUAAUGUAGUCAGUGCUGAAAUUUAAAAUCUGACUUUGUCUUGGAUUCUUCAACAAACAUAUUGAGAGGAAAAAAAGAGAAAGGGGAAGGGAAACCUAUAUCUUAAGAAGAAAAACUUUCAUAAACGUAUCAGGUUACAAUGUAGAAGCCGUAUUUCCAUACUAAUCUCAAUAAAUUAUCAUCUUGAAAAAUUAUGAGAUAAGGAAAUUUAAAUAUUGCCUGGAUGUUUAAUAUCAUUAAGGAAUGAUUGUUAAUUUUUAAAUGGGAUAAUCAUAUUGUGCUUAUGUUUUUAAAAUAAUGUUUUAUCUUUUAGAGAUACAUGCCACAAUGUUUAUUGAUUUAGCAAUAUAAUAUCUGAGAUUUGCUCCAGAAUAGUCCCCCAGAAGAGACGAAAUGGGUGGGACUGGUUUAAGUGUAGCAAAUUUGGACAUGAGUUGAAAAUUGGUAAAGUGAGGCAGUAGUAAGUGGUAGUUCUUUACAUUAUUCUCUCUCUUUUGUAUAUGUUUGAAAUUUUCUACAGUAAAAAGGAAAAAAAAAAAAGAAACAGUGCAGGUAUCAAUUUUUGUCAGUUAAAAGAAACAUCUGGGAGUCAGGAAAUUCUUAUAAAAGGGGUGCCCACACAUUCCAGGUAACCCAUGGCUGAUUUCACAUAAUUGAAGAAUAUGUUCAUUUUUUUCCUAAAAGUGACUUUAAGGUAUAGAUCAUCCCUUUGAGCAGCCAACCUCCUACUUAUCUGAGCUACAGAUAUUCUUUCCAGGGGCCUCUGUGCUUCUCCACCUGAAGGCUGAUCUGAAGGCAGAGCAAGUUCACAUCUAAAACCAAUCGACCUUAUUAUUAAUAUUUUUUCAACCUAACCUAUUUCCUUAUUCCUUGUCAUAGUACUAAAGCACUAUUUCCAUCAGUAGCUCUAAACCAUUAACCUAAUAGUUAAUUUCCAUUUUUCCUUCUCCUUCCUGCUCACAUCCACUUGUCGUGUCCGGUCAACUCUAG